AACGAACGCUGGCGGCAGGCCUAACACAUGCAAGUCGAGCGCGCCCUUCGGGGUGAGCGGCGGACGGGUGAGUAACGCGUGGGAACGUGCCCUUCUCUGCGGAAUAGCCUCGGGAAACUGAGAGUAAUACCGCAUACGCCCUUUGGGGGAAAGAUUUAUCGGAGAAGGAUCGGCCCGCGUUGGAUUAGGUAGUUGGUGGGGUAAUGGCCCACCAAGCCGACGAUCCAUAGCUGGUUUGAGAGGAUGAUCAGCCGCACUGGGACUGAGACACGGCCCAGCCUCCUACGGGAGGCAGCAGUGGGUAAUCUGAGACAAUGGGGGCAACCCUGAUCUAGCCCUGCCGCGUGAGUGAUGAAGGCCUUAGGGUUGUAAAGCUCUUUCAGCGGGGAAGAUAAUGACGGUACCAGCAGAAGAAGCCCCGGCUAACUCCGU
rnacentral:rRNA from 1 species